GGGACCGUCGUGUAGGGGUAAGCGUGGUUGUCUCUCACCCAGUCGGCUUGGGUUAAACCCCAGACGGUUCCG
rnacentral:tRNA from 1 species